CGUCAAAUCAUCAUGCCCCUUAUGACCUGGGCUACACACGUGCUACAAUGGAUGGUACAAAGGGCUGCAAACCUGCGAAGGUAAGCGAAUCCCAUAAAGCCAUUCUCAGUUCGGAUUGCAGGCUGCAACUCGCCUGCAUGAAGCCGGAAUCGCUAGUAAUCGCGGAUCAGCAUGCCGCGGUGAAUACGUUCCCGGGCCUU
rnacentral:rRNA from 1 species